GACGAACGCUGGCGGCGUGCUUAACACAUGCAAGUCGAACGGAAAGGCCCUGCUUUUGUGGGGUGCUCGAGUGGCGAACGGGUGAGUAACACGUGAGUAACCUGCCCUUGACUUUGGGAUAACUUCAGGAAACUGGGGCUAAUACCGGAUAGGAGCUCCUGCUGCAUGGUGGGGGUUGGAAAGUUUCGGCGGUUGGGGAUGGACUCGCGGCUUAUCAGCUUGUUGGUGGGGUAGUGGCUUACCAAGGCUUUGACGGGUAGCCGGCCUGAGAGGGUGGCCGGCCACAUUGGGACUGAGAUACGGCCCAGACUCCUACGGGAGGCAGCAGUGGGGAAUAUUGCACAAUGGGCGGAAGCCUGAUGCAGCAACGCCGCGUGCGGGAUGACGGCCUUCGGGUUGUAAACCGCUUUCGCCCGUGACGAAGCGUGAGUGACGGUAAUGGGUAAAGAAGCACCGGCUAACUACGUG
rnacentral:rRNA from 1 species